rnacentral:tRNA from 1 species
UGCGGGAAAGAGGACUUGAACCUCCACGCCUUGCGGCGCCAGAUCCUAAGUCUGGUGCGUCUGCCAAUUUCGCCAUUCCCGC